GAUGAAGAACGUAGCGAAAUGCGAUACUUGGUGUGAAUUGCAGAAUCCCGUGAACCAUCGAGUCUUUGAACGCAAGUUGCGCCCGAAGCCACUAGGCCGAGGGCACGCCUGCCUGGGCGUCACACGCCGUUGCCCCCCCAUCUACUCCUUCGGGAUUGCGGGGGGGCGGAUGAUGGCCUCCCGUGCGCCUAGCCGCGCGGUUGGCAUAAAUACCAAGUCCUCGGCGACGCACGCCACGACAAUCGGUGGUUGCGAAACCUCGGUUGCCCGUGGUGUGCGUUCGUCGCGCAUCGAGGGCUCGAAAAAAUGCUCGGCUCCGGCUGGGCUUUCAACGCGACCCCAGGUCAGGCGGGGUUACCCGCUGAAUUUAAGCAUAUCAAUAAGCGGAGGA
rnacentral:misc_RNA from 1 species